rnacentral:rRNA from 1 species
UACGUAGGGGGCGAGCGUUGUCCGGAUUUAUUGGGCGUAAAGAGCUCGUAGGCGGUUUGGUAAGUCGGGUGUGAAAUCUCCACGCUCAACGUGGAGGGGCCACUCGAUACUGCCAUGACUCGAGUCCGGUAGAGGAGUGUGGAAUUCCCGGUGUAGCGGUGAAAUGCGCAGAUAUCGGGAGGAACACCCGUAGCGAAGGCGGGUCUCUGGGCCGAUACUGACGCUGAGGAGCGAAAGCGUGGGGAGCGAACAGG